UACGUAGGGACCGAGCGUUGUCCGGAUUUAUUGGGCGUAAAGAGCUCGUAGGCGGCUUGUCGCGUCGGCUGUGAAAACCCGCGGCUCAACCGCGGGCCUGCAGCCGAUACGGGCAGACUAGAGUGCGGUAGGGGAGAUUGGAAUUCCUGGUGUAGCGGUGGAAUGCGCAGAUAUCAGGAGGAACACCAAUGGCGAAGGCAGAUCUCUGGGCCGUAACUGACGCUGAGGAGCGAAAGCAUGGGGAGCGAACAGG
rnacentral:rRNA from 1 species